GGCUGGCGUUAGUGAAGCUGCUUUCAACUGGAUGUCACAUUGUUGAACUCUGAUGAUUAAUGAACUCUCGAUGUGACGAUGGUAGAAUGUAAUUGUAACCCUGUGUUCAUUUAGUCGUUUGAUACCGUUUAAUAUCCAGUCCAUCUGUCUGGUGUUUUUAACAUGCCCUGGAAUAAUGUAAAGUUUUACAGUGAUUUACGACUCUUUCGCGACAGUCAGCUGGGGAGUAAACUGUGGCGGUUCUCAGAGGUAGCUCAUGUGAGCCAGCAGUGACAUCUGUACAUGCAGUAGCCUUAAAAUGCUGAUUAUUUAUUCUCCUGCUAGAACAGGAGGCGAGAGCAGAGAACAAGAGUGCAGCAGUUUGGUGGAAGGUGAAGAAGAGGUGAGCAUCCAAAAGACGAGCAAGAGGACAGUUUCAUAGGAGACAUCACGGCACAAUAAAAGCUAGAAACUCACCUGAUGUAGUGGUAAGGCCAUGUUCACCACUAGAUGGAGACAACCUGGCACAGAAAUGGAGACCCGCCACACGAACACACAAGCUCAGGUGAGCAGAUCCAGUGUAUGUCAUGAGUGAGCUGGUGAAAAGAUGCCAGGACAAGAACAUCAGCCUGAACUUCAAAUACGACACUGUGUGUGUGCUGUCCUCACAUAUACAUAAGUGCAGCUCCUUCAGAGAUGGGACAAAGAGGAGGUCACCAGCCUGCUGAGGCCAAGUUCGAUUUGAUUUUCCAGUCAACACUGAGAGACCUUGACCAGGAAGUCAGAGGUCAGCUCAUGCGGUGAGCAGGAAAUGAAUCAAGGAAGAAGGAUCGCUCGACUCAAUCUCAAAGAAAAUCUCCUGGUACUUGUUUUAUAGCUGUUAUUUAUAUUCAUUAUGGCCAUUAUAAUGAUGUGCCUUUUGAUAUUAACAAGCACGUUUUCAUUGUCACAGAGAGGGAAACGUUGUAUUUUCUGCGUCUCUUCCUCACAGUAAAGAUAUUUCUAUUGCACUCCUGCAAAGAAGAUUCUGCAGGUAAACUGUUGAUGGGACAAUAAACAAAUUUCACUUUGCAAAAUGUUCUGCAGGGAGGUUGUGGUUGCUUCUUAGACUACCAUAACUUGGAUGACUGAGAACCUACGCAGACACGUUCUGAAGGAAGGGCUCCACACUUAUUGUACUGAUUUAACUGUGUUCAUUGUCAUCUAGCAAAUUUUGCUUUAAUGUGUCUCUAUCGACAACACAAAGCAUUUUUUUCACUAUUUAUAAAACGUAGAAGACUUAAAAUAUAUCUGCAGUGCUUGGUGUAAAUUCAGUGAUUCAAGCCGCAGUUGGUUGGAGUCCAACAGUCUGCAGUGGCCACCACAGUCCACCGUCUUCACAUCAUAAGGACAAUUUCAACAUGUCUGUCACGUCUCCUUGCACUUGUACUCAUGCCUUGAUGAACAAGUAGGUAGAGUUCAAAUGUGGAUUUUCAGUGAGUUUAUAAGUACAAGUUACUGUUACUGCUGCUGUUUGUG